UUCUCUCACUUGUGCUCGCUUCGGCAGCACAUACACUAAAAAAUUCUCUCACUUGCUAUAAAACAAGUAGGAAAGACAGUGGAACCUAAACAUGCUUCAGCCUGCGACGAAGUCUUACUCCAGCAACUAGGUCAACAAAACUCUAAAUACUUCCAGUGUCACAAAGUGUUACCUAUCACAACCGGAUUAUUAAAAUGUACUUUUUUUUUUUUAUAAAUCAAAGGACAAGAAGAAAUUAAAAUUGUAACAGUCAACAAAUGGAAGGCCAAGCACCCAGUGCCUACAAUCUGUACUAGAAGAAGGAGCGAUGCCACACAGUAAGUCAGUCUCAUCGUGCGGAAAAAAGAGGAAAACGGAUUUCAAGAAUGGUUUGUUCAGGUGUCAGAGUCUGACUCUUAAGGAAGCAACACCUUAAGAGCUAAGAGCACUGCCAAAGGGGUCAUCGAGGUCAGCACAGCGAACAGCGUAAUAAGUCAGCACCGUAUGUGAAGGUCCAGAGGCAGUGAAGAGUCAAGAGUUUCGCUGGAAGACAGAAGCAACAGUAGAUGGCAAUGGUAACACCAAAUGACAUUUUUAAGAAUUAAGACAAAUCAAACAGAAGACUUCGUGCUUAACUCUCAAGGCAACAGGAAAAGAAAAAAGGCAUGUGAGCAGAGUGCCACCAUCAGUCUUAAAAUUAAUAUACAGUGAUGGUCAGGAAAGAGAACAGGAACCUGGGAGAGGCCUAUUAGCCCACCGUCGGUCACUAAGAGAGCCUAAACACGGUGGCCUGGGGAGAUAAAGUAAAAGGAACCCACAAGAAAUGGGGUCAAAGAUAGGUGACUGCAAGACGAUGUACUAAAAUGGAAAUACUGGGAUGCCUGAGUGGCUCAGCGG